GUGCUAUCACUUCAGCAGCAUAUAUACUAAAACUGGAAUGAUACAGAGAAGAUUAGCAUGGCCUCU
ensembl:snRNA U6 U6 spliceosomal RNA